AGAAAAGGUUCUGACAAACACAGGAUCGAUCUCAUCCUCUCCGAACUCUGAUCGCUUUCCUGUCAAAUGGCGGUGAAAUACUGGAAUUGCGAGGAUCUUCGUUGCUCUGUCUCAUCUCUCCUGAAGUUGCUGUCAAGCGACUCCAGAAAAGCAGAUGCAAAGGAGAGAAUUACCUUGAGGGUUGCCAAGCCAUAGAAUUGGACCAUCUUGCCAGUAGGAGGAUGGCCCUUGAAAGGGCCUUCAAAGAAGCCCCAGUGCCUGAACUUGAAAGUGAUUUCAGGAGGUCCAGUAUAAACCUUGAUCACUUCCCAAGCAAAGCCUCGAGGAAAAGCUGAUCUGAAGGCUUCGUGAGAUGAUUCAAAGGUCUCUUCUUCUGCUUUGUAAUACCUGAACGGUUCUGGCAGAGAGUUUUGCAGCAGAGCAUUGUAACUUCCCAUGCGAAGAGUUUCCUCUCCAGAUAAUCCCUCCCUGCCUGUUUGCCAUGCUUCAAAGGUUAGAUCAGAUCUAUAUGUUUCGCAGCAUCAAUUCAUAUUCUAUUGUUUGCUGCUCUAUUCAAACAGUUGAUUCAAAUCGUUUAGACUUUAAAAAAAGAAAAAAAAAAACAUAUGAACAAUGACUUUAACACGGUUUCAAGUUUGAAACAGAAAAGUCAACAGAUUAGAAGAAAACAGUGUUUCUAGAUGAGUGUGAUUCCCAACUUAUAUUCGGUUGACACGAAGAUGUUUUAUCCAAGCUGAAACUAAGACAAAGGUGAUGGCCAGAGAAAACAAGAAACAGAAUGAAAGAAACCUUGAAGUUACCAUUGACAAAGAGCUUGAACUUGUGAGGGUUGAUGGACUUGAAAUCCUGCAAGCGAGUUUUGUGAGAGAGCUCCAUCUCCCACGUCUUGACAGCAUUUUGCACAGUCUCCUCCAAUGAUCCUUCCGGCCACUCCUGCAAAUCAAAACAAAUGAAAAAAUGAUUAAGAUGAAGAAAUCUUGAGAGAGAGAGAGAAAGAUGAGAAGGGAGAAGCAACCAUGGUUCGGCCUUGUUCGAAAAGCAAGUUGACAUCGUCGUAGCUGGGAGGGCCACCAUGUCUCCAGAGAGUGUUGGCUUCAUGCUCACCCAACAAGAAAGACCUGUAUUUAUCUUCACAACCUGCCACUUCUUCUUCUUUUCCGGCCAUCUCCAAAAUCAAUUCACAGCCAACCUUACUUCUUAUUGGGAAAGGAAACUGUAUCUUACUCUCUUAUCUCUACCAUGUCCACCACUUUAUAUAUUUAUAUACAGCUUCGAUCGGUUCCUGUC